CUGUAUGGCAGCCCAUUAAUUGUACUGGUUAUUCUACGUCUGCUAAUGGGCGCGAUUGAAGCGCCUGCCUUUCCGGCGAACAGUCGUUUAAGCGUACAAUGGUUUCCCAAUAAUGAACGAGGUUUCGUUACUUCAGUUUAUUAGGCUGCGCAAUAUAUUUCGCUGGGCAUUAUCGCCCCGCUAAUGACGAUCAUUCUGCAUAAUUUAAGCUGGCAUUUUGUCUUCUAUUAUAUUGGCGCCAUUGGUGUGAUGCUCGGUAUAUUCU
rnacentral:misc_RNA from 1 species